rnacentral:lncRNA from 1 species
CUUAAAAAUUCUUAAUGGAUGAGAAUUUAAAUAAAAUAAAAGUUGUCACAAUUUAAACACCUUGUCAUGGACUGAGUUUGUAUUCCUCAGAAUAGCUGGCUUUAUGAAUAGAUUUCUAAGAAUUUUAUAAAUAAAAUAAAAGUUGUCACAAUUUAACUAAAAUAGUACCCUGAAUAGAUCAAUACUUGAUGACUUAAUGCACU